GCCGCUCCUCUGCUCCUCUCUCUCUCUCUCUCUCUCUCGCGAUUUCACCAGAUAUAUGAAGUUUCAAUAGAUCGAUGAAGAUUCUGACCUCCUGGUUCCGAUUUCUGGCUUUUAUUGGCUUUAUUUCAUCCGUAUUUUCUCUUCCCUUUCGUCUUCCUUCUUACGAAGAGCAAUAUCCAUCUUCAAGAGGUUACUUAUAGGCUUGCUCAGAUUUGAUGAUUAAACAUGUGUUCACCACAGAUCGACGGAGAAGAUUUGCAACGGAGAAGAGGUGCAACUGAGACUUUUAGAUCUGCGAUCCCCAAACCCUAAUACGGUAAAACUUUUAGAUCUGGUAUGUUUAUAUGCAGGUUGGGGGAUUUUGAUUUCAGGUUAGUGGUCUGAUUUAUCAUAUUGCAAUUUUAUACAUGUUUAAUUACAUGAGCGAGUUUAAUACCUGGGUUAAUUUUGUUUUUUCUUUCACGUCAUUUCCGGCUGUUGUUCUAUCUUUAUCGCAAACUUAAAGGUAUGCUUUAAGAUAAACUGAACAAUUACGAUUGUCUCUUCAUGAAUUCAGCUAAUAUCUGCAGUUGUGAUGUAGUUUUGUGGUUUUAUAAUGCGACUCUGAGUUUUUAGUGAUUUUGUUGAGAAUUACAGUUCAAUGUCUGGACCACUCGAUUGAUUUGAAAGGCCUUGUAGAUUUGUAAGGCGGGAUCACUGGAUCCUAAAAAGGCAAACGAGAAAAUAUUAGUGUCUUUGGGGAGAUAAUGAUUGGGUUGACAAAGAUCAAGAAACAGCAUUGACUAGGGCAGUUGGAAUGCUUCUUUCUAAUGUACAGGUAGAUUUGUGCAUCAGAUCUACUUGGAUUUACACUGUUGAUUAGUGUGGUUGUGACUAAAAGGUACAUACUUUGUCAAGCCAUUAAGAUUUUGGCUUGCAUUGAAUUUUGAAAUCAAUAAAUAUCCACGGCAGAUUUGUUGAGCUUGCCGGAAAAUUCAGACGCUGGUUCGCCAGCCACCUACACUGCUCCACCGCCUGGUCUCAUCAGUUAAAUGAAUACAGGUGGACAAAAAAAGUGUCGGCGAUUGACCCGUAUUGGAAAAUUAUCCAUUUCGAUUGAUGUGUACGUGACUCUUUUGCCACCUAGCCAUGGUUUUUAACUUUGUUAUAGAUGCUACUAAACCUAUGGAAGUGACAUCACUACAGGUUAUUAAAGAAAGAUUUAAUUAUCCAAUAAGUAGUCUAAAAAAUUAGAGGCGUAAGUACAGCCGACGCUUAACUAGGCAUGGGCGACUUGUUGGGAUUCAUGGACAAAAUCCAUGAAGUCGUUCCAAUGGACCAGCAGCCCGAACUUCUUCAAAAGCUGUCGGAAGGAAGCUUUACGGUGCGGAUCAUGUAAGAACAGUAAAUUUAGUGAACAUAUAUAUCUCCUUAACAAACGAACGCGAACAAGGUCUUGUUCGUGUUCGGUCGGUUCAUUUGCAGCCCUAAUAAUAAGUUUUCUUGAUGCUUCCUGGAUUUAGUUUGGAGUUGAUGCCAAAAGGUGGUGAAAAAGAAAGUCAGGCGAAGAUAAACCGAUACAUGACAAUGAUGGAUUCGAUGACUGAUGAAGAGUUGGAUAGUACGAAUCCAAAACUCAUGAAUGAGUCAAGGAUGACUCGGAUAGCAAGAGGGUCGGGUCGAAAAGUUAGGGAAGUUGUCGAGAUGUUCGAAGAGUGUAAACGUCUAGCCAAACCAUUUUAAUCAUGGAAUUAUAUGUUUUGACUGUUCUUCUAGACGUUUUUUUUCUUUCUAAAUAAUAUUAUUAGUGUGAUGAAUAGUAAUUACUUAUUAUUUUAAUUUAAUAAUGUUGUUUU